AUCCCUGCGUUGUGCGGCAGAUAAGCAAUUAUUUAAUCCAACACUUUUUGAAUUGGGAAUCCGGACGCGGUCGGCGGAUUGCAGACCUCCCGGCCCUCGGGCCGGACGAAGGGAGCGCGAAACCGACUGGAGGAUACCCACCUGUCUUCGUACGGGUUUCAUUAAGGCUUAUCACCGGCAAGGCGGGGAUU
rnacentral:other from 1 species